CCACAGACCGAUACGUACGUCGUUUAAAAUGCAAUUUCUACGUAUUAAUACUUUUGGUAUAUUAACGCUAUUUGUUGUCGAACAUCUAUGUGUUCUGGAGGUUUAUAUGGAAAGAUGUGAACUUGACGUUGUCAAUGCGUCCUAUUUUAAAGAACUGAAAUUCAAUGUAAGGAAAUAUUCGCGAACCGGUAAAAGAUAUCUCAACGCAUAUGCUGCAAUUGUGAAGCCCUUGAGAAAAAAUAUGAUGGUAACGAUUACAUUUGAAGAGUAUCUACAUAAUGAAUACAGACCAACCUUCAUACAUUUCGAUUUCAUGUGGUGUGACCUGUUAGAGUCACCAUUCAUGCUCUUGAAGGAAAGAUAUGGGAUCCCAUGUCCUACGACACCGAUGGAGUAUACUAUACCUAAUAUUACAAUAUAUACCGAAACAUUACCAGAAGCAUUUCCCAUUCGUCAAGGAAGGAUACGUAUUCGAGCAUACGAACCAAGUCCUAAAAUUGCAAUUGCCUCUGGAUAUUUAUACGCGUCUUUUACAAAAAAAACGAAACAUUGACAUGGUUUAUUUGUACAAUAGUUUGUACUAAUAAUAAAAAAAUAUAUUCAGACAUUUUUACAAUCAUUUCUGCGAAACCUAAUCUUAAUUCAUAAAUGGACAAAAUGUUUC